rnacentral:rRNA from 1 species
GACAGAGGGUGCAACCGUUGCUCGGAAUCACUGGGCGUAAAGGGCGUGUAGGCGGGCAGGAAAGUCAGAUGUGAAAUCCCUGGGCUCAACCCAGGAACUGCAUUUGAAACUCCCUUUCUUGAGUGUCGGAGAGGAAAGUGGAAUUCCUGGUGUAGAGGUGAAAUUCGUAGAUAUCAGGAGGAACACCGGUGGCGAAGGCGGCUUUCUGGACGACAACUGACGCUGAGACGCGAAAGCGUGGGGAGCAAACAGG